rnacentral:lncRNA from 1 species
CGUCGACAUACACCUCCAUGUUGUAUCAAUCUAGCUUUUGAAUGCCUUAUUCAUGAGGUAUUGAUAUAUUGCACCUGCAUUUUUCAAACCAAAUAACAUUACUUUAUAUCAGUAUAAAUCUUUAUCAGUAAUGAAUGUCACCCUUUUCUUGUUCUUGGUGUCAUUCGAAUCUGAUUGUAUCCGAAGAAGGCAUCGAUGAAGCUCAAAAGCUUAUAUUCUGAAGUGGCA